rnacentral:rRNA from 1 species
GAGUUUGAUCAUGGCUCAGAACGAACGCUGGCGGCAGGCUUAACACAUGCAAGUCGAACGCCCCGCAAGGGGAGUGGCGCACGGGUGAGUAACGCGUGGGAAUAUGCCCUUCGGUUCGGAAUAACACAGGGAAACUUGUGCUAAUACCGGAUACGAUCUACGGAUGAAAGAUUUAUCGCCGAGGGAGUAGCCCGCGUAGGAUUAGCUAGUUGGUGAGGUAAUGGCUCACCAAGGCGACGAUCCUUAGCUGGUCUGAGAGGAUGAUCAGCCACACUGGGACUGAGACACGGCCCAGACUCCUACGGGAGGCAGCAGUGGGGAAUAUUGGACAAUGGGGGAAACCCUGAUCCAGCCAUGCCGCGUGAGUGAUGAAGGCCUUAGGGUUGUAAAGCUCUUUCGCCAGGGAAGAUAAUGACGGUACCUGGAAAAGAAGCCUCGGCUAACUCCGUGCCAGCCGCCGCCGUAAG